GUUUGUGGUGAUACCGGCUUGUCAAAGCCUGAUCUCAUCCGAUCUCAGAAGCUAAGGCUGGGCCUGGUUAGUACUUGGAUGGGAGACCACUGUGAAUAUCAGGUGCCACAGUGG
rnacentral:rRNA from 1 species